rnacentral:rRNA from 1 species
UAGGGAAUAUUGGACAAUGGGGGAAACCCUGAUCCAGCGAUGCCGCGUGGAUGAUGAAGGCCUUCGGGUCGUAAAGUCCUUUUCUGAGGGAAGAACCAUCUGGCGAGGAAAUGCGCCGGGUUUGACGGUACCUCAGGAAUAAGCAACGGCUAACUCCGUGCCAGCAGCCGCGGUAAUACGGAGGUUGCAAGCGUUGUUCGGAAUAACUGGGCGUAAAGGGAGCGCAGGCGGCUUGAUAAGUCUAAAGUGAAAACCCAGGGCUCAACUCUGGACCUGCUUUGGAUACUGUCGAGCUUGAGUACGUGAGAGGAGAUUGGAAUUCCAGGUGUAGCGGUGAAAUGCGUAGAUAUCUGGAGGAACACCGGUGGCGAAAGCGGAUCUCUGGCACGUUACUGACGCUGAGGCUCGAAAGCGUGGGGAGCAAACG